AAAUGAGCUAAAUUGAACUUCCCUAAUGAGUACAGGGGUGAAAUUGAACAUUUUGCCUAAUAAUAUAUACCCUACCCAAAUACCAUGGAAAGGUGAAGCAAGAUUGAUAACUACCAAUCACUUUGAGCCCAAUUAUACAUUUUGAAAUUAGCCCAUCUAUACUAAUGAAUCCAUAUCAGAUAUGCUUUGACCAGAUGAAUUAUUUUUCAUGGGAGAAAGGUAUGUAAAUAAGAUUGCGUCUGAAUCCAAGCUAGGUAACAGGAUUCUCCUGAUGUUCAAUUUACAAUAUAUAAUGAAGUGUCAUG
rnacentral:misc_RNA from 1 species